rnacentral:rRNA from 1 species
UGUAAGCGUAUACCAAAGUUGUUGCAGUUAAAACGCUCGUAGUCGGACUUUGGCAGUUCCGGAUGUGUGCACGUCGUGUGCGCACUUCGCGGGGAUUGCUUUUGUGGUCUUGCGUAGGAUGAGGCACUUUUAUUAGUGAACGUCCUCACGCAACCACUUUUUACUGUGAGAAAAUCAGAGUGCUCAAAGCAGGCAUUUGCCGUGAAUGUAUUAGCAUGGAAUAAUAGAAUAGGACUUGGUUCUAUUUUGUUGGUUUGUUGGGACUGAGUAAUGAUUAAGGGGGACAGUUGGGGGCAUUUGUAUUUCGGUGCUAGAGGUGAAAUUCUUAGAUUACCGAAAGACAAACUGCUGCGAAAGCGUCUGCCAAGGAUGUUUUCAUUGA